rnacentral:lncRNA from 1 species
GCAAUGUUGCACCAUGCCCUAAUGUUAUUGGUAUGUGAUACUUUAUUAUUAUUUUUAAAUAUUAUUGUAAAUUUAUCUAUAUAGAUUAUAUAUAAUUUAUAAUAAUAUAAAGUGUGAAUUAUUUUUAUUUUAUUAACAGGUGUCAUUAGAGAAAGUAUGAUGAAUAUACUGAAAGAAAGCAACACAAAGAAAAUAAAGAAAAAGAGGAGAAAAUAUGAAUUCUUAUCUCAAUUAAGAGAAGAGGAGGAUGAACACGAGGAAUUCAUUGAUGAGGUUUCUGCUAUAAGGAAAGGAUGUAACGCCCCAAAUCUUAGAUAUUUAUUUAUGUAUGUUGUGAUACAUAAUUACGUAUCUGCUUCAGUGGUUAAGUGUUUUGGGAAGUGGCUGAGAAGUCUUGGGUUCAAGCCUUGCUUGUACAAAGUUUUUUUUUAAGUAAUAAACCCUUUCUGUUAGUUAGUAGGCUUAUAAACUAAUGUGAGUGUUGCAUGACAGAAAAGGUCUGCUAGUCAAGGGGUAAGUGGCGUGUCAUUCCUACUAAAGGUCUUGAGUUCGAGUCCUGUUGUGCACAAUGUGUGUUUAUUUUACUGCUCUGCCGUGUGGGAAGUUGAGGUUGACAAUUCGGUGGUUGAGGAGAUAAUGGUAGAGUGAUUUUAGGAGGAUUAUGUAGGAUUUGAAAGUGGUAGAGUAGUGUCGAAAUUGGCUAGUAGGUGCACAGAAAUUUUUGCUAAAUUAGCCAUUUUAUCAAGUGUCGAUUUUGUCUAUUCUUUCCAUUUUGUGGUUUCUACCAAAUAGUUCUCUAUUUGUUAAGGUCGUAUGUUGCUUGACCAUUCAGGUAUUCUUGUGUUGCGUUUUGUGCUUUCUUUUUGACGAAACACUACUUUCCUCCCUCCACAACCCAUUACCGAAUACCCUUGUUUCUUCUUCCUCUCCUCAAAUCGGUUUGCUUUAGUUGAACCUCUUCUCUUUUUUUCUUCUUCCCCUCAUUCGAGUCUUCUGUAUUAACUGGUCCCAUUCUUUUCCAUUCUAUUACCUUGACCGAUUGCUUCUUGCUCUUUUUCCCUCUCUUCAUCUUAGUAUUGUAGCCGAAUACCUUGUUCUCUCCUUCUAUACUUUCAGUUCUGGGCUAUUGAUAUUCGACUAAUCAGGUCUGAGGGUACGUGGUUAUUCCUUUUCUCUCUCUUUUUCUCUUCUGUCACACUAAUAGUUUCAUCUAAUAUCUCUCUAUGCUGCCGUUGUUUGAAAGGUACAAGUGUUCCAUUAUGCCUCUAUCAUUUGUGUAUUUCUGGCUCUUGUGGGUAUAGGCCGAAUAUUCUUUCCUUCUAGUCUGGACAUUACAUUUUCGAUAAAUGAUUAUUCAACUAGUUCAAAUUGUUCUGUUGUUUGAUUGUUGAUAAGCUUUUUUUGGAGUGCAGGAAACCUCUAAGGCUUUGUGGUUAGAUUUCUUACAAUGGUUCCAGGGUGAUCGAUCAAAGCGAGUGAUAGGUAAUUCGUGAGCAAGGGUUGGCUAGGGUUCUUUUCAAUUCAUUUGAUAAGUGUUUAACUGAAGUUCUGAUUGUGAUAGGUUUGGAAUACUCGUGGGCCAGUAGCGUAUUUUCGUAAUCAAGUGUGUAAUCACACUGCUAUAAAUGUAAAUCAACAAAAGUUGGAAUAGGUAAUCGUUGACCCUACACGAACGUGCAUUUGCUCAUGUGGUAAUUCGAAUGUGCAAUCAUGGGCGUUAGAUCGUAGAGGCCACCACGAGCGAUUUCAUAGGUUUAGGCCGCUUCGGGCAAUGUUGGGCCGAAAUAGGCCGUGUAGGCCUUACGGGAUCGUAGGCCACACACGGGUAGACCACAUAGACAUGUGGAGAUUUUUGGGCCAGGCUGUAUAGUUUACACAACCAAGGCCAUUUUUGGGCUUCGUGGGUUACACGAGCAUGUGGUCCUACAUGGGCCGCAUUGUGGUCUUGGGCCCAUUUUUCACUAUUUGACUGUUAAGGUUGCACAGGUUGCCCGAGACGACUGUGGACAUACUGUUGGGUCAGUAAGUAUACCUAGACCCUAAUCUGAUGAAAUUACUAUUUUGCCCCUAUGAGGUAAAAUGACUAAUAUACCUCUAUGAUAUGUAUGAUUGAAUAGAGCAUGGCCGUUUUAUAUAUGUUGCAUACAUGCAUGAUAUUAUGAUAUGUUGCAUGAGGAUAGGUUAUUAUGAUUGGAGGAAGUGUACUGUACUGGUAGCUCUACUGCAAAUUUUAUUUAGUGCCGCAACUGGUGCUAAUUUCGGUAUGUAGGGAUGGGUUGGUUGAUUUUAUCCCCACAUGGUGUGUAGGGCUGGACGGAGUGGUGUGUAGAGGCUGGUUGGGUAGAAUGUCUGAUUACAUAUCUGUACUGUGACUGCUACUGAAUUGGGCUACAACCCACACUGAUUCUGAUACUGUAAUGGACUAAGGCCCUAAGUGAGAUUAAACUGUUACUGAAACGGGCUUAGGCCCAGACUGCAAAUGCCUACUGUAUGACUGACUGUUGUUAAGAGAUUAUACACUGAUUUUUCAUAAACUCACCCUUUCUGUUUUCUACACAGGUAAUCUUUAGGCGGAUUGGUGCCGUGAGGGAUUCGAAGGUGGCUACACAACAGCAUUUGCUUCCAUUUUUAACUUUUAAUUUAUAAGUAAUUUAAUUUGGGUAUUUGUUUUGUAAUAAGUCCUCUUUCAGUUUUUAUUUUAAUUUGGGAUUUAUUUACUUUGAUUUAUAUCUGUUAGUAGUAGGUCACGGAUUUUCAAAAUAUAAACAAAUAUUUUUUCUAAAACAUCACGUUUACACAACAUAUUCUGAGAGCUUCCGCAACAACGCUGUUUUAAAGUGUAAUAAUAACCUAAUAUGAUUAACGUUUUGCUGAA